rnacentral:tRNA from 1 species
CGGGACGUGGCGCAGCCUGGAAGCGCACCUGAAUGGGGUUCAGGGGGUCGAGAGUUCAAAUCUCUCCGUCCCGACCA